AUUGAACGCUGGCGGCAGGCCUAACACAUGCAAGUCGAGCGAGAGGCGGACGGGUGAGUACUGUCUGGGAAACUGCCUGAUGGAGGGGGCUAACUACUGGAAACGGUAGCUCAUACCGCAUCCCAUCAGAUCUGCCCAGAUGGGCUUAGCUGGUAGGUGGGGUACCGGCUCACCUAGGCGACGAUCCCUAGCUGGUCUGAGAGGAUGACCAGCCACACUGGAACUGAGACACGGUCCAGACUCCUACGGGAGGCAGCAGUGGGGAAUAUUGGACAAUGGGCGCAAGCCUGAUGCAGCCAUGCCGCGUGUGUGAAGAAGGCCUUCGGGUUGUAAAGCACUUUCAGCGGGGAGGCGUUACCCGCAGAAGAAGCACCGGCUAACUCCGUGCCAGCAGCCGCGGUAAUAC
rnacentral:rRNA from 1 species